CGCGGCCUCUGCCGCGACCUCGUCCUCGAGGCGCAUCAAUCUGGUAGUUGUGGGCUCCCGAAAAAUUGCGUCCUUCAUGAUAUGUAUACGUUUUGCUCAGGUUCGCCUUUUUCUGGACCGGUGGUGCUGCUUGAGUCUUCUCGGCUCGAGGUGCUUGCUUCGUUGGCUCGUGCCUCUUUGCUAGCAGUGCUAUCUCUUCUUCAUGGGCAAUGAAAUCCGAGGCUCGAUGCAGCGCAUCGCAAAUCGUCGUAGG
rnacentral:lncRNA from 1 species